GUAGGGAAUAUUGGGCAAUGGAUGCAAGUCUGACCCAGCCAUCCCGCGUGCCGGAAGAAGGCCCUCAGGGUUGUAAACGGCUUUUGACGGUGAAGAAUCGACAGGAUGCGUCCUGUUUUGACGGUAGCCGUUGAAUAAGCACCGGCUAACUCCGUGCCAGCAGCCGCGGUAAUACGGAGGGUGCGAGCGUUGUCCGGAUUUAUUGGGUUUAAAGGGUGCGUAGGCGGGAAGGUCAGUCAGCGGUGAAAAGCUGUCGCUUAACGAUAGUCUUGCCGCAGAUACUUCCUUUCUUGGAUGAGGAGGAGGCCACUGGAACGGAUGGUGUAGCGGUGAAAUGCAUAGAUAUCAUCCAGAACACCGAUUGCGAAGGCAGGUGGCUGUACCUUAAUCGACGCUGAUGCACGAAAGCAUGGGGAGCAAACAGGAUUAGAAACCCGUGUAGUCC
rnacentral:rRNA from 1 species